AACCCUGGAAUGAGUACUGCUUAUCAAGAUCUGGGUAUGAGAAGACUUAAAAAGUCAGAUAGUCAGUGAGAACCAGCUAGAAUCCAUGAUCUGUUGUGGGAAAACUAGAAGACCAAAAAAAGCACAAAAGUCAAGAAAGAAGUCUCUUUUCACAUGAAAGUGGCCUGAAGACAAAUACUGCUAUGAAUGGUUACAUCUAGGACUACUGAGAUUAGCCCCAGAUUCAACUCAUUUUUUUUUUCAUUUGCUCAGCAAUAUGACAUGUUUAUGCUGAUUAGCUAAAAAGUUAUGUGAGGAAUGGGCAACAAUAUCUCUAAGGCAAGAUAUGCUCAGAACCGAUAUAGUUCAUAUAGACCUUGUCAGAGUAAAUGACCAUGUGCCUUUCAGAACACUAAAGAAUAAAGUCUUUCCACAUUAGAAUGACAAA